AUUGAACGCUGGCGGCAGGCCUAACACAUGCAAGUCGGACGGUAGCACAGAGGAGCUUGCUCCUCGGGUGACGAGUGGCGGACGGGUGAGUAAUGUCUGGGGAUCUGCCCGAUAGAGGGGGAUAACCACUGGAAACGGUGGCUAAUACCGCAUAACGUCGCAAGACCAAAGAGGGGGACCUUCGGGCCUCUCACUAUCGGAUGAACCCAGAUGGGAUUAGCUAGUAGGCGGGGUAACGGCCCACCUAGGCGACGAUCCCUAGCUGGUCUGAGAGGAUGACCAGCCACACUGGAACUGAGACACGGUCCAGACUCCUACGGGAGGCAGCAGUGGGGAAUAUUGCACAAUGGGCGCAAGCCUGAUGCAGCCAUGCCGCGUGUAUGAAGAAGGCCUUCGGGUUGUAAAGUACUUUCAGCGGGGAGGAAGGCGAUGUGGUUAAUAACCGCAUUGAUUGACGUUACCCGCAGAAGAAGCACCGGCUAACUCCGUGCCAGCAGCCGCAGUAA
rnacentral:rRNA from 1 species